GACGUAGGGGGCAAGCGUUGUCCGGAAUUAUUGGGCGUAAAGAGCUCGUAGGCGGUCUGUUGCGUCCGCUGUGAAAACUCGGGGCUUAACCCCGAGCCUGCAGUGGAUACGGGCAGACUAGAGGUAGGUAGGGGAGAAUGGAAUUCCCGGUGUAGCGGUGAAAUGCGCAGAUAUCGGGAGGAACACCGGUGGCGAAGGCGGUUCUCUGGGCCUUACCUGACGCUGAGGAGCGAAAGCGUGGGGAGCGAACAGG
rnacentral:rRNA from 1 species